rnacentral:misc_RNA from 1 species
GUGAAUCAUCAAAUCUUUGAACGCAAAUUGCACUCUCUGCGGAGAGUAGGCCUAUUUGAGUGUCAGCCUAAAAAAAAAUCAACAUAUUCGCUGUUUCGCCGUGACAUUCGUCGGAAAUUGGGGCAUCUUAAACCUUUUGGUUUUGAGCAGCUUGAAAUUUUCUUUACGUUUCCUGGCACGUUACUAAGAUUUAAUUCUUAUACGUUUAAGGUAUCGAUCGUUAGUAUACAUUU